UCCAAUUUAGUUUUAUAAGUUUUCCUUUAGUCUACGAGCGACAACGUGUGCGAAUAGGUCGCGCUAAAUUUUUUCGCAGAAUUUUCCCCGCAAGAAAUAUUUAUUAUAAAUUUUUGCCGCUUUUACUGCUUUUAUUACAUUUUUUCAGUGUUAAAUAAAAUAAAAGGAAUAAAGCAGAUAUAAAAAAACAACAAAAAAUAAAGCAAACUGUUAAUUUUACAGCCAAAUUAUAAAAGUAAAUUAUAAAUAAAUAAUAAAAAAAAAAAAAUAGUAAAGAAAAACAGUUAUCAAGAAAGAAAGGAAAAGUGAAUAAUAAUAAGAAAAUUUAAUAAAAAAAAUUUUCGACAAAUAAAAAAAAAAAAUUAAAAGUUUUUAUUAUUUUCUUUUACUUUUUUUUUUAUUUAUUUUUUUCAUAAAUCUGAAAAAAAACUCUUGCCAUAUUUGUAAUUAACAACUUAAAUGAAAGUCUCAUUUUUAAAUCAAAACUUGUAAUUGUUUUAACAAAAAAAAAAAAAAAAGAUCUAAAAAUUGAUUAAGAAAAAAGGUUUUCUCGUAAAAAACGAAUUAUUUUACAAACUCCAAUAAGAAUAAAAAAUUUUUAAAUAAGCAGACAUUGGUUAUUAAAGACAAGAACUGAAAUAAUAAGAAACAAAAAAAAAAUCAAAAAAAGGUAAUUCCGUUUCCGGUGCCGAUUUAACAGCGUAAGCAGUAAUUUUUUUAAAUUAUGUUAUUUAGAUAAAAUAUUUUAAAUUUUAUUAAAAAGAAGAAAAAAUUACAAUUAUAUCAUAUUGUGUAUUUUUGACAUCAGUUGAAUUGCAGAGUCAAGAGUGGAAUUUAAGAAAAAUGGUGAAUAAAUUUGAGCAAAUUUUUCACAGACUCAAGCAUACCAAAGAUUAAUUUUUUCAUUGAUUGCAUUAUUAUUGCGGUUAUUACAUUAGUUAUAAAUAUUGCAAGGCCACAUUUAUAUUUCGGUUUUACACCAUUCCAAUUCUAUAGGCCUAAUAUGCAUUUCCUUUGCUUUCUUUUUAAUUCACGAAUGUAGUCUUACAGUUUUUCUCUAAAACUGGCACUUUUAAUCAAUCUCUCAGUCCAAUUAUUUGUCUUUUAAUUGUUAUUCCUGAGGUAUUUAUUGCCUGAAAGAUCCGCAUCCCCCUCUUUUAUAAUUUUCUGAUUUCCAAAUUACACAUACAUACGUCAAUUACUAAAAUAUAUUGGUCAAAAUUUUUGUAAAAUUCGAGGUUUUUUUUUCAACAUUUUACAUGGUCACUGGUCAGCGACAUGGAUCUCAUUAAAUUAAAAAAUUUGAGGAAAUUGAUUUAAUAACUGACCCAUUUGUAUGAAAAUGCUUCAUAUAUUAUGGAAUUGCAGUAAAUAUGAUGAUAGUGCUUAAUUAUUAAAUAUUCUAAUAACUAAGUAAGGUUCACUACAAUAAUGUAAUAUAAAGAUUUAGCAAAUAACAAAAUUUAAAUUGGUUUUGAGGUUUUCAAAGAGUAAA